rnacentral:rRNA from 1 species
GACGAACGCUGGCGGCGUGCUUAACACAUGCAAGUCGAACGGAAAGGCCCUGCUUUUGUGGGGUGCUCGAGUGGCGAACGGGUGAGUAACACGUGAGUAACCUGCCCUUGACUUUGGGAUAACUUCAGGAAACUGGGGCUAAUACCGGAUAGGAGCUCCUGCUGCAUGGUGGGGGUUGGAAAGUUUCGGCGGUUGGGGAUGGACUCGCGGCUUAUCAGCUUGUUGGUGGGGUAGUGGCUUACCAAGGCUUUGACGGGUAGCCGGCCUGAGAGGGGGACCGGCCACAUUGGGACUGAGAGACGGCCCAGACUCCUACGGGAGGCAGCAGUGGGGAAUAUUGCACAAUGGGCGGAAGCCUGAUGCAGCAACGCCGCGUGCGUGAUGACGGCCUUCGGGUUGUAAACCGCUUUCGCCUGUGACGAAGCGGGAGUGACGGUAAUGGGUAAAGAAGCACCGGCUAACUACGUG